rnacentral:rRNA from 2 species
GCAAGUCGACGAGUUCUCGUUGAUGAUCGGUGCUUGCACCGAGAUUCAACAUGGAACGAGUGGCGGACGGGUGAGUAACACGUGGGUAACCUGCCCUUAAGUGGGGGAUAACAUUUGGAAACAGAUGCUAAUACCGCAUAGAUCCAAGAACCGCAUGGUUCUUGGCUGAAAGAUGGCGUAAGCUAUCGCUUUUGGAUGGACCCGCGGCGUAUUAGCUAGUUGGUGAGGUAAUGGCUCACCAAGGCGAUGAUACGUAGCCGAACUGAGAGGUUGAUCGGCCACAUUGGGACUGAGACACGGCCCAAACUCCUACGGGAGGCAGCAGUAGGGAAUCUUCCACAAUGGACGCAAGUCUGAUGGAGCAACGCCGCGUGAGUGAAGAAGGCUUUCGGGUCGUAAAACUCUGUUGUUGGAGAAGAAUGGUCGGCAGAGUAACUGUUGCCGGCGUGACGGUAUCCAACCAGAAAGCCACGGCUAACUACGUGCCAGCAGCCGCGGUAAUACGUAGGUGGCAAGCGUUAUCCGGAUUUAUUGGGCGUAAAGCGAGCGCAGGCGGUUUUUUAAGUCUGAUGUGAAAGCCCUCGGCUUAACCGAGGAAGCGCAUCGGAAACUGGGAAACUUGAGUGCAGAAGAGGACAGUGGAACUCCAUGUGUAGCGGUGAAAUGCGUAGAUAUAUGGAAGAACACCAGUGGCGAAGGCGGCUGUCUGGUCUGUAACUGACGCUGAGGCUCGAAAGCAUGGGUAGCGAACAGGAUUAGAUACCCUGGUAGUCCAUGCCGUAAACGAUGAAUGCUAGGUGUUGGAGGGUUUCCGCCCUUCAGUGCCGCAGCUAACGCAUUAAGCAUUCCGCCUGGGGAGUACGACCGCAAGGUUGAAACUCAAAGGAAUUGACGGGGGCCCGCACAAGCGGUGGAGCAUGUGGUUUAAUUCGGAAGCAACGCGAAGAACCUUACCAGGUCUUGACAUCUUUUUGAUCACC